GAUCAUGAGGCAAAUCACAGUCAGCUGCUGUGGCCAGUCUGAAGCAGUCCUUUAUCCCGCACCUAGGAUUAGAACAAAAACACAAUCUUAUAUUUCUGUGUCUUACAAAACCCCAAAUUCGCAUCAUAUGCAACCUUAAAUGUGGUGACAAGAUCAUCCAUUGACAGUGUAUGGGUGCACAUGCUUGUGAUUAUUUCUCCAAGGGGUCCGCAGCACACACUGACCUUGAACUGACUGUGAGCUGCCUCAGCCACCCACGUGCUGGGAUCGCAGGUCCAUAUCACCGUCAGACCAAAUGGGACAUUUUUUUGUUGGCUACGCCUACCGCUAAUGGAGCGCCGAAAUGUUUAAACUAGUAGCGAACCGCGAUACCUGUAAAGUUACGUAACGGUAUAGCAAUUAUAUAACUUCUAAGAACACUCGCCAUGCUGUGGGGUAAGAUGUGGUUCCCCGUGGCUGAGUUCCUCGCCAUGCCGUGGGGCAAGAUGUGGUUCCCCGGGGCUGAGUUCCUCUCUGACAACUGUUUGUCUCCAGUUCAGGAGCCCAAGCGGAACCUCUCCUUCUUCCAGAUGAGGAAAGUGUGGGGCCAAGUCUGGCACAGCAUCCAAACGCUGAAGGAAGACUGUAACCGGCUGCAGCAGGGACAGCGAGCUGCCAUGAUGAACCUCCUUCGGAAUAACAGCUGCCUCUCCAAGAUGAAGAAUGCCAUGGCCUCCACGGCGCAG
rnacentral:lncRNA from 1 species